GGGUUGUGAGGUUAAGCGACUAAGCGUACACGGUGGAUGCCCUGGCAGUCAGAGGCGAUGAAGGACGUGCUAAUCUGCGAUAAGCGUCGGUAAGGUGAUAUGAACCGUUAUAACCGGCGAUUUCCGAAUGGGGAAACCCAGUGUGAUUCGUCACACUAUCAUUAACUGAAUCCAUAGGUUAAUGAGGCGAACCGGGGGAACUGAAACAUCUAAGUACCCCGAGGAAAAGAAAUCAACCGAGAUUCCCCCAGUAGCGGCGAGCGAACGGGGAGGAGCCCAGAGCCUGAAUCAGUGUGUGUGUUAGUGGAAGCGUCUGGAAAGGCGCGCGAUACAGGGUGACAGCCCCGUACACAAAAAUGCACAUGCUGUGAGCUCGAUGAGUAGGGCGGGACACGUGGUAUCCUGUCUGAAUAUGGGGGGACCAUCCUCCAAGGCUAAAUACUCCUGACUGACCGAUAGUGAACCAGUACCGUGAGGGAAAGGCGAAAAGAACCCCGGCGAGGGGAGUGAAAAAGAACCUGAAACCGUGUACGUACAAGCAGUGGGAGCACAGAGCAAUCUGUGUGACUGCGUACCUUUUGUAUAAUGGGUCAGCGACUUAUAUUCUGUAGCAAGGUUAACCGAAUAGGGGAGCCGAAGGGAAACCGAGUCUUAACUGGGCGUUAAGUUGCAGGGUAUAGACCCGAAACCCGGUGAUCUAGCCAUGGGCAGGUUGAAGGUUGGGUAACACUAACUGGAGGACCGAACCGACUAAUGUUGAAAAAUUAGCGGAUGACUUGUGGCUGGGGGUGAAAGGCCAAUCAAACCGGGAGAUAGCUGGUUCUCCCCGAAAGCUAUUUAGGUAGCGCCUCGUGAAUUCAUCUCCGGGGGUAGAGCACUGUUUCGGCAAGGGGGUCAUCCCGACUUACCAACCCGAUGCAAACUGCGAAUACCGGAGAAUGUUAUCACGGGAGACACACGGCGGGUGCUAACGUCCGUCGUGAAGAGGGAAACAACCCAGACCGCCAGCUAAGGUCCCAAAGUCAUGGUUAAGUGGGAAACGAUGUGGGAAGGCCCAGACAGCCAGGAUGUUGGCUUAGAAGCAGCCAUCAUUUAAAGAAAGCGUAAUAGCUCACUGGUCGAGUCGGCCUGCGCGGAAGAUGUAACGGGGCUAAACCAUGCACCGAAGCUGCGGCAGCGACACUGUGUGUUGUUGGGUAGGGGAGCGUUCUGUAAGCCUGUGAAGGUGUGCUGUGAGGCAUGCUGGAGGUAUCAGAAGUGCGAAUGCUGACAUAAGUAACGAUAAAGCGGGUGAAAAGCCCGCUCGCCGGAAGACCAAGGGUUCCUGUCCAACGUUAAUCGGGGCAGGGUGAGUCGACCCCUAAGGCGAGGCCGAAAGGCGUAGUCGAUGGGAAACAGGUUAAUAUUCCUGUACUUGGUGUUACUGCGAAGGGGGACGGAGAAGGCUAUGUUGGCCGGGCGACGGUUGUCCCGGUUUAAGCGUGUAGGCUGGUUUUCCAGGCAAAUCCGGAAAAUCAAGGCUGAGGCGUGAUGACGAGGCACUACGGUGCUGAAGCAACAAAUGCCCUGCUUCCAGGAAAAGCCUCUAAGCAUCAGGUAACAUCAAAUCGUACCCCAAACCGACACAGGUGGUCAGGUAGAGAAUACCAAGGCGCUUGAGAGAACUCGGGUGAAGGAACUAGGCAAAAUGGUGCCGUAACUUCGGGAGAAGGCACGCUGAUAUGUAGGUGAAGUCCCUCGCGGAUGGAGCUGAAAUCAGUCGAAGAUACCAGCUGGCUGCAACUGUUUAUUAAAAACACAGCACUGUGCAAACACGAAAGUGGACGUAUACGGUGUGACGCCUGCCCGGUGCCGGAAGGUUAAUUGAUGGGGUCAGCGCAAGCGAAGCUCUUGAUCGAAGCCCCGGUAAACGGCGGCCGUAACUAUAACGGUCCUAAGGUAGCGAAAUUCCUUGUCGGGUAAGUUCCGACCUGCACGAAUGGCGUAAUGAUGGCCAGGCUGUCUCCACCCGAGACUCAGUGAAAUUGAACUCGCUGUGAAGAUGCAGUGUACCCGCGGCAAGACGGAAAGACCCCGUGAACCUUUACUAUAGCUUGACACUGAACAUUGAGCCUUGAUGUGUAGGAUAGGUGGGAGGCUUUGAAGUGUGGACGCCAGUCUGCAUGGAGCCGACCUUGAAAUACCACCCUUUAAUGUUUGAUGUUCUAACGUGGACCCGUGAUCCGGGUUGCGGACAGUGUCUGGUGGGUAGUUUGACUGGGGCGGUCUCCUCCUAAAGAGUAACGGAGGAGCACGAAGGUUGGCUAAUCCUGGUCGGACAUCAGGAGGUUAGUGCAAUGGCAUAAGCCAGCUUGACUGCGAGCGUGACGGCGCGAGCAGGUGCGAAAGCAGGUCAUAGUGAUCCGGUGGUUCUGAAUGGAAGGGCCAUCGCUCAACGGAUAAAAGGUACUCCGGGGAUAACAGGCUGAUACCGCCCAAGAGUUCAUAUCGACGGCGGUGUUUGGCACCUCGAUGUCGGCUCAUCACAUCCUGGGGCUGAAGUAGGUCCCAAGGGUAUGGCUGUUCGCCAUUUAAAGUGGUACGCGAGCUGGGUUUAGAACGUCGUGAGACAGUUCGGUCCCUAUCUGCCGUGGGCGCUGGAGAACUGAGGGGGGCUGCUCCUAGUACGAGAGGACCGGAGUGGACGCAUCACUGGUGUUCGGGUUGUCAUGCCAAUGGCACUGCCCGGUAGCUAAAUGCGGAAGAGAUAAGUGCUGAAAGCAUCUAAGCACGAAACUUGCCCCGAGAUGAGUUCUCCCUGACCCUUUAAGGGUCCUUAAGGAACGUUGAAGACGACGACGUUGAUAGGCCGGGUGUGUAAGCGCAGCGAUGCGUUGAGCUAACCGGUACUAAUGAACCGUGAGGCUUAACCUUACAACGCCGAAGGUGUUU
rnacentral:rRNA from 1 species